rnacentral:snRNA from 1 species
UGGUCCCAAGGCUCGCUU